UACCCGUAAUGUUUCCGCUGAG
rnacentral:miRNA from 1 species